rnacentral:snoRNA from 2 species
GAUGUAUGGACUUGUAAGGACUGAAUGGUUGAUGAGUAACCAGGCUGAUGAAUAUGAGAUGGCUUAAAAAG